ensembl:lncRNA
UUAAACUUGCUGCCAUCUUUUACAGUAACUUGUUAAAACCACGGGGUGACGCUGUGGUAACUCUAUAACAAACGCGUCUCUUUUGUAAACGAAGAAAAGGGUGCCGGAAAUGACACGGAACUGCUUCCGGGAUCAAUGUUGUCAAUUGCUGUUUACUGAAAAAUAACCCAUAGCACUGUUUUAAUAACUUCAAGUGCAUUUAUUUUAAAUGCAGCUAUAGUGUUUUGUGCAUUAAAUCGCACAAAGUCGCACUUAGAUGACCUAUCACUUGAUCAAAGACUAUUAAACGUCAAAACAAUAUGAAUUCGGUCACUACCGUAACUCUGCAUCCACAUCUGCGCGAAGAAGAAGUUCUUGUGGUGGAAAAUGCAAUUCGUUUGGCAAUAGACUCGAUAAUUAACGUGUUGUACGGCGUCAACAGCGCCAGGACUAAUGAGUUCCAGCGGAUAUUGGGCGACCGGGACAAAGAGAUCCAGCGGCUGAAUUGCAGGCUCAGAGAGCUGGAGCACGAACAUCAUGCUCCGCGUCAGCCGGUCUCCGCUGACCAACAACCAGCACAGCUGAGCCGCUAUGACCCAAGUAGCUCAGACCCUGAGCUGGCCAAGCAGGAGUGUGAAGACAGCAAUACCGCGACACUUUUUGAAAGACCUUCCUUGCAAAUCUCUUUACAAAGCAACGAGUCUUCGGUUCAGUUGUCACCAAGCAGAAGGGGUCUCAGACAGAGUGGAACCCCCCACUCCACAGAGUCCUUCAGCAUGUCGGAUGCAGCGGUGAACGUACCCACGUCUCCCAGCAGCUCCGCUGUCAAAGAAGAACCAUGUGAGAUUGAUAAAGUCUUCAUCCAGUGGGAAAUUAGUCAGCAGGAAUCAGAGCGUCAUCAGGAGGAUGGAGACACUCAGGAGACUCCCACUGAAACCCAACUGCUGGAUCCCAGAGACAGGAGGAACAUCAGGAAUAAAGCUCACGCACCACCAGAUGGACAUCCCUUCCCUCAGAGACAACACCUACGGAUGAAGAAGAAGAGUGUGCCGAUGUCAGAGCUGUCAGAAGAGGCCCAGAGGCUGAAGAGGGCAGCCUGGAGAGCUGCUUCCAGGCGAUACUACGCCCGGAAAAUAGCUCGACAGCAGGCCAACUCUGCACGCCUGGGCACGUUUUCCCAGGUUAAAGACUUCCGGUCUUCUCAGGUUGAGAGGAGGACGCUGAUGCAGGAGCUACCAAACGACCGUCAAAUGCUGCAGAGGGCUGCACCAACCACGUACUGCACAUCCAACAUCUCGCACCAUCAGACGGAGCCCACACAGGCCGGCCACCUGCCCCAGGACGCAGAGUGGCUCGAGGGGCCGCUGGAGACCAACGGAAGAGGAUCACAUGACAUCAGCGGAGGAAUAAUGUGCAGCUGAGUUCAGUGCUCAGGAUGAAGCUGGAUUAUAUCGCAAUUUAUCAUUUCAUUGGGAGACGAUAUGAAACAUGGAGAGAAUGAAUGUGUCCUGUAUGUCUCCAGGUCAUCUGAUGUGUUUCUGGACUCAUUCAUGUCCAUGUUUAAGAUGUCUAUUGUCUUUAUUUUUGUUAAAUGCAAUGUGGGCCUGUAUCAAUUUGAUUAAAGAUAUAUUUCAAUACCUUUACUAUACAGCAUUACAGAAAUGCAAACUACUGGCGAUGAAUAAAUGUAUCUCUCUGUGUUCUGAUGCAACACAUCUUUCCUCCAGUUAUUAAUCUCCUCAGCUGUUUGUGCCAACAUACGUCUGCAUGCUGAGAUCCAGUCAAGGAGCAGCAAAACCUCCAAUCUGGGAAAUGGAAGACCUGGAUUGGAGGGUCCAAGAACAGUAGAUUCUGUAGGUUCACACAGUCACUGUUCUGUCCUACACAAACAGCCCGACUGAUUAAAGGCUGCAACCUACAGAACAGAGGAGUGCUGCAAGCAAACAUGAGCCAUCAGAUACCAUCAUUUUUACCCCAGUUUGGGCCUGACGGCUACAAACACCAAUAAACUCCUUUGAGCAGCAGAUGGUGGGGGAGGCGAGCCCCACUAAAACAACUUGAUUGUAUUAAAGUCGAGCUGAUGAUCUUAAGCUGUUUAGCCUCAUGAGGGGA